AGAUCUUCAGUACCUACUACCACUGUUUGUAGAAGCUCUUCUAAAUCUACAAAUUCUGUGGUAGUAGGUACUGAAGAUC
rfam:Bombyx mori DNA, contig: Bm_scaf10792_contig56002, strain: p50T/Dazao, build 2, whole genome shotgun sequence.